GUAGUUAGCCGGGGCUUCCUCCUUGGCUACCGUCACUUUCUUCGUCACCAAGGACAGAGGUUUACAACCCGAAAGCCUUCUUCCCUCACGCGGCGUUGCUGGGUCAGGCUUGCGCCCAUUGCCCAAUAUUCCCCACUGCUGCCUCCCGUAGGAGUCUGGACCGUGUCUCAGUUCCAGUGUGGCCGAUCAGCCUCUCAGCUCGGCUACCCAUCGUUGGCUAGGUGGGCCGUUACCCCGCCUACUACCUAAUGGGACGCGAACCCCUCCUUUAGCGGAUUUCUCCUUUGACCUCUGUGUCAUGCGGCACUGUGGUCUUAUGCGGUAUUAGCACCUGUUUCCAAGUGUUAUCCCCCUCUAAAGGGCAGGUUGUUCACGCGUUACUCACCCGUUCGCCACUGUCCUCUUAUAAGUAAAGUAAACUUCUACUUAUAAGAUUCUCGUUCGACUUGCAUGUGUUAAGCACGCCGCCAGCGUUCGUCCUGAGCCAGAAUCAAACUCUGA
rnacentral:rRNA from 1 species